rnacentral:tRNA from 1 species
CACCCCAUAGCUUAACAUAAAGCAUCUUGCUUACACCAAGAACAUACCCGUUAAAUCCGAGUUGGGCUGA